rnacentral:rRNA from 1 species
CUGCUGCCUUCCGUAGGAGUCUGGGCCGUGUCUCAGUCCCAGUGUGGCCGUCCACCCUCUCAGGCCGGCUGCUGAUCGUCGCUUUGGUGGGCCGUUACCCCGCCAACUGGCUAAUCAGACGCGGGCCCAUCCUGUACCACCGGAGUUUUCAAAGGAUUACCAUGCGGUAUUCCCUAUUAUGCGGUAUUAGCACCUAUUUCUAAGUGUUAUCCCCCGGUACAGGGCAGGUUGCCCACGCGUUACUCACCCGUCCGCCACUAAGUAACCCUA